CCUACGGGUGGCAGCAGUAGGGAAUUUUCGGCAAUGGGCGGAAGCCUGACCGAGCAACGCCGCGUGAACGAAGAAGGUAUUCGUAAUGUAAAGUUCUUUUAACAGGGAAGAAAGAGAAAUUUGACGGUACCUGACGAAUAAGCUCCGGCUAACUACGUGCCAGCAGCCGCGGUAAUACGUAGGGAGCGAGCGUUAUCCGGAAUUAUUGGGCGUAAAGGGUGCGUAGAGGGCAUAGUAAGUCUUGUGUAAAAUUGCGGGGUUCAACCCAGGAGGGCAAAAGAUACUGCAAAGCUAGAGUAGGAGAGAGGCAAGUGGAACUACUUGUGUAGCGGUAAAAUGCGUAGAUACAUGGAAGAACACCAGUGGCGAAGGCGGCAUGCUGGGUCGAUACUGACGUUGAGGCACGAAAGCGUGGGGAGCAAACAGGAUUAGAUACCCGAGUAGUC
rnacentral:rRNA from 1 species